rnacentral:rRNA from 1 species
GACGAACGCUGGCGGCGUGCCUAAUACAUGCAAGUCGAACGCAUUUUCUUUCACCGUAGCUUGCUACACCGAAAGAAAAUGAGUGGCGAACGGGUGAGUAACACGUGGGUAACCUGCCCAUCAGCGGGGGAUAACACUUGGAAACAGGUGCUAAUACCGCAUAAUUCCAUUUACCGCAUGGUAGAUGGGUGAAAGGCGCUUUUGCGUCACUGAUGUAUGGACCCGCGGUGCAUUAGCUAGUUGGUGGGGUAACGGCCUACCAAGGCUGCGAUGCAUAGCCGACCUGAGAGGGUGAUCGGCCACACUGGGACUGAGACACGGCCCAGACUCCUACGGGAGGCAGCAGUAGGGAAUCUUCGGCAAUGGACGCAAGUCUGACCGAGCAACGCCGCGUGAGUGAAGAAGGUUUUCGGAUCGUAAAACUCUGUUGUUAGAGAAGAACAAGGAUGAGAGUGGAAAGUUCAUCCCUUGACGGUAUCUAACCAGAAAGCCACGGCUAACUACGUG